CGCGAGCGGCUCAUUAUAACAGCUAUAAUUUACUAGACCUUGCGCAAUUACUGGGAUACCUGUCGUAAUUAUGGAGCUAAUACAUGCACCGAAGUUGUUCCUCGCGGAGCAACGCACAUAUUUGAGCAAAACCAGCCGUCUUCGGCCGUUUCUGUUGAUUCAGAAUAACUAAGCUGAUCGCAUGGGCUUGUCCCGGCGACGUGUCUUUCAAGUGUCUGCGUUAUCAACUUUCGAUGGUAGUGUACGUGACUACCAUGGUGUUGACGGGUAACGGAGGAUAAGGGUUCGACUCCGGAGAAGGGGCCUGAGAAAUGGCCAAUACGUCUAAGGAUGGCAGCAGGCGCGCAAAUUUCCCACUCUCGGUUCGAGGAGGUAGUGACGAAAAAUAACAAGGCCGUUCUCUUUGAGGCCGGCCAUUGGAAUGGGUACAACUUAAACCCUUUAACGAGUAUCAAUGAGAGGGCAAGUCCGGUGCCAGCACCCGCGGUAAUUCCAGCU
rnacentral:rRNA from 1 species